UACGUAGGGGGCAAGCGUUGUCCGGAUUUAUUGGGCGUAAAAGCGCCUCGCAGGUGGUUCGAUGCGUCGUGCGUGAAAGACCCCGGCUCAACUGGGGAGGGUCGUGCGAUACGGUCGAACUGGAGGCCAGUAGGGGGAUGCGGAAUUCCGGGUGUAGUGGUGGAAUGCGUAGAGAUCCGGAGGAACACCAGCGGCGAAGGCGGCAUCCUGGACUGGUCCUGACACUCAUGAGCGAAAGCGUGGGGAGCGAUCCGG
rnacentral:rRNA from 1 species